CACGAAAUGCAUACAUACUAUAAAUUCAGGUGUGCAUAUCAACAACACAAACAUCGAUUCUUAUUUCUUGGUAGAGAUGAUUCCAAGCAGAGGAUCGCGAUCUCUUCUGCUGCUUUUGCUCCUCUUCUCCUCCAUGCUUCUCCGAGCUUCCUCGCAGACCAACGCCACCGCAUCAGCGACACAUGUGGAGGAGAGCACAAGAAGGGAAGUCGCGGCGGUGAGGGAGUUGAGAGGCGGUUCUCGCGGUGCCGGCGGUGGUCGAUCACCCGUAACCAGAGGCAGCGGCGGCGCUGCAGCUGGUGGGAGCGGCGGCCACAGUGCUUCAUGCAGCAGCUAUGGUCGCCAUGUCGCCAUCACUUCUCUUGCCUUCGCUAUUGGCGCUGCCAUUGUGAAUUCCAUGUAGACUUCUUCUUGUCGUUGCAACAGAGAGAGUCAUACUCCCGCUUGCAUGAAUGCAAGAGAGAAGAAAAAGAUCUGUUAUAUUAUCAUUAUUAUUCCUUCUUUUA